UGGGGAAUAUUGCACAAUGGGCGCAAGCCUGAUGCAGCCAUGCCGCGUGUAUGAAGAAGGCCUUCGGGUUGUAAAGUACUUUCAGCGGGGAGGAAGGGAGUAAAGUUAAUACCUUUGCUCAUUGACGUUACCCGCAGAAGAAGCACCGGCUAACUCCGUGCCAGCAGCCGCGGUAAUACGGAGGGUGCAAGCGUUAAUCGGAAUUACUGGGCGUAAAGCGCACGCAGGCGGUUUGUUAAGUCAGAUGUGAAAUCCCCGGGCUCAACCUGGGAACUGCAUCUGAUACUGGUCAGCUAGAGUCUUGUAGAGGGGGGUAGAAUUCCAUGUGAAGCGGUGAAAUGCGUAAAGAUGUGGAGGAAUACCGGUGGCGAAGGCGGCCCCCUGGACAAAGACUGACGCUCAGGUGCGAAAGCGUGGGGAGCAAACAGG
rnacentral:rRNA from 1 species